AUACGUAGGGUGCAAGCGUUGUCCGGAUUUAUUGGGCGUAAAGGGCUCGUAGGCGGUCUGUCACGUCGGAUGUGAAAACUCGGAGCUCAACUCCGGGCCUGCAUCCGAUACGGGCAGACUAGAGUUCGGUAGGGGAGAUUGGAAUUCCUGGUGUAGCGGUGGAAUGCGCAGAUAUCAGGAGGAACACCGAUGGCGAAGGCAGAUCUCUGGGCCGAUACUGACGCUGAGGAGCGAAAGCGUGCGGAGCAAACAGGAUUAGAAACCCCAGUAGUCC
rnacentral:rRNA from 1 species